GACAGAGGGUGCAAACGUUGUUCGGAGUUACUGGGCGUAAAGCGCGUGUAGGCGGUUCGGAAAGUCGGGUGUGAAAGCCCUGGGCUCAACCCAGGAAGUGCACUCGAAACUCCCGAGCUAGAGUCCUGGAGAGGAAGGCGGAAUUCUCGGUGUAGAGGUGAAAUUCGUAGAUAUCGAGAGGAACAUCGGUGGCGAAGGCGGCCUUCUGGACGGCGACUGACGCUGAGACGCGAAAGCGUGGGGAGCAAACAGG
rnacentral:rRNA from 1 species